CCUCUUCGAUCUGCUGCGGGCAGAUGAAGUGGAUGUGCGUGUCGAUGCCGCCGGCGGUGAGGAUCAUGCCCUCGCCGGCGAUCACCUCGGUGCCGGCGCCGAUGGCGAUGUUCACCCCGGGCUGGAUGUCCGGGUUGCCGGCCUUGCCGAUGGCCUGGAUGCGCCCGUCCUUGAGACCGACGUCGGCCUUGACCACGCCCCAGUGGUCGAGGAUCAGCGCAUUGGUGAUCACCGUGUCGACCACCUGCGCCGCGCCCAGCUGGCUCUGGCCCAUGCCGUCGCGGAUG
rnacentral:sRNA from 2 species